rnacentral:ncRNA from 1 species
CGACCCCAGGUCAGGCGGGACUACCCGCUGAGUUUAAGCAUAUAAAUAAGCGGAGGAGAAGAAACUUACGAGGAUUCCCCUAGUAACGGCGAGCGAACCGGGAGAUGCCCAGCUUGAGAAUCGGGCGGCCGCGCCGUCCGAAUUGUAGUCUGGAGAGGCGUCCUCAGCGACGGACCGGGCCCAAGUCCACUGGAAAGGGGCGCCUGGGAGGGUGAGAGCCCCGUCCGGCCCGGACCCUGUCGCCCCACGAGGCGCCGUCAACGAGUCGGGUUGUUUGGGAAUGCAGCCCAAAUCGGGCGGUAAACUCCGUCCAAGGCUAAAUACAGGCGAGAGACCGAUAGCGAACAAGUACCGCGAGGGAAAGAUGAAAAGGACUUUGAAAAGAGAGUCAAAGAGUGCUUGAAAUUGCCGGGAGGGAAGCGGAUGGGGGCCGGCGAUGCGCCCCGGCCGUAUGCGGAACGGCUUCGGCUGGUCCGCCGAUCGGCUCGGGGGCGUGGACUGUUGUCGUCCGCGCCGGCGGCCAAAGCCCGGGGGCUCCGCGCCCCCGGCAGCCGUCGUCGGCGCAGCCGGUCACCGCGCGCCUCUGGCGCGCCCCUCGGGGCGCCGCGCUGCAACGGCCUGCGGGCUCCCCAUCCGACCCGUCUUGAAACACGGACCAAGGAGUCUGACAUGCGUGCGAGUCGACGGGUUCUGAAACCUGGGAUGCGCAAGGAAGCUGACGAGCGGGAGGCCCUCACGGGCCGCACCGCUGGCCGACCCUGAUCUUCUUGAAGGGUUCGAGUUGGAGCACGCCUGUCGGGACCCGAAAGAUGGUGAACUAUGCCUGAGCGGGGCGAAGCCAGAGGAAACUCUGGUGAGGCUCGAAGCGAUACUGACGUGCAAAUC